rfam:Aedes albopictus isolate Foshan contig12741, whole genome shotgun sequence.
AUCCAGUUAGCCUAGGUUAAGGCUACGGAUUGCCAAUCCGGAGACGGCGGGUUCGAUUCCCGUUCUGGUA